GUGGGGGCAGGGAUGCAACCCAGUCUCCUCGGUUUGACCGCUCCUUCUUUUGUCUGCCGUUAAGAAUUACCCUUCACAGGCUGUUCAGAGAACGUCAAGUGCUACAGGAUGCGUCGGCUAGUAGAGCGCUCCCCACCUUCGCCAAGACCACAGCACAUGCGGCCCCUGACGGAGGGAGUCCGCCUCCCCACCUCCCCGGUCUGCCACCGCUCAGGGACGGGGGGCUGCCUCUCCCUUUCCUUAGGUUUCAAACCUGGGUGAGUCCUCUGACCCAGUGGAAAAAAAUGGAGUGGGAGAGGUCGCGCAGCCUCCCUCCCGGCGGCUUAGGGCCCGCCCGCUGGCUCCGCUUUCGGGUUACUGCAGUUCAAACAGCACGUGCCGCCAGCGCUGGGAGCCUAGCGCAGCCGGGAGGGGCGGGGGCCUGUCCCGUGCGCGCCUCCUCCGCGCCUCCUCCAGUCGCUCGGGAAAUCCAAGGGAUAAACACCCACUUUCCCUUCCUCUUUCGGGGGGGGGUGGGUGCGCUUUGAUCCCCGCUCGUGCCUCGCCUGCUCUCCCCCCGCCCGCCCUUCCCCCACGGCCCAGACCCGUGCGCUCCGCUGCCCAGGCUCGCCGCACCUCUCUGACCAGGCCCCGCCACCGCAGCCCACAAGCUGUCCCCAACCUCCACGCGCAGCCGCCUGCCCGCGACUCCCUUCAAGCAGCCUGUGCUCUGUGGAGCAAGGCAAGGACAGGCUUUGGACACCCCAGACCCCGCACGCUCAAGCUCUUCCAAGCCACCGUUGGGGGUGCCCAUGACGCAGUCGGCCAGCAAGAAAAGGGACCAAGAGGAGGCCGGAGCAGGCCCUGGAUCCGGACUCGAGGCCUUGUCGGCGGGGAACUGCGGAGUCUUCAAGCAUGAAAACUACUUCCAGCUAAAUGUGCACACACGCCAGUACAGCCGAAAAGUGACUCUGCAGAACCCGGAGCCCUAAUCACUUUUCCACAUGCGCCUCCGGCCCGGCGCGCGACGGGGAACGAGCUGGGAGCGCCCGCGCAGCCAGGAGGGGGGCUGGGCCGCGGGAACGCUGUCCCCCUCCCAGGCUGGAAGGCGGGGAUAAUUCCCCCUGCCGUGCAGCCCUUCUAGACGGCGUCUACCCCUUUAAGAAAAAUCUAGGCGGAGGUGGGGUGCGACAGAAGGGGUGGUGAGGCGAGGGUUUCCCUCCCUCCGUCUGCUAUACCCGUCUCCCUCGCUCCGUCUCACUCUCCGUCUUUCCUCUCCUUCUUUUCCUCUGUUUUUCUUUUCUUUCAACACAAAAGUUGGGUUGUGAAUUUUCCGAGGUCGCCGCCGCCUCGCCCCCACCCCCCGCCUCUGAUCUGCCUAACUAUAAUUAAAGUGCGUUUUUUGUGGCAUUAAUAAAGAGUUAUUUGUCCGCCGUUUCCACGGUCUUCACAAAGAGUACUUUCAUAGGGGCGGCCGCUCGGGCCGCGAGUCCAAUUUAUACAAAAAUGUUGUAUUUUUAGCCCUGGGCUCUGUUUAGAUGGCGCUCGGUGGAAACGGAGAGCCCUUGGAGGUCCCCCCGUAAAAUCUGAUAAAUGACUCCGAAAAAAUAACGCUGGGAUUCAGAGGGCUCUCAUUAACC
rnacentral:lncRNA from 10 species